ACUCCUACGGGAGGCAGCAGUGGGGAAUAUUGCACAAUGGGCGCAAGCCUGAUGCAGCCAUGCCGCGUGUAUGAAGAAGGCCUUCGGGUUGUAAAGUACUUUCAGCAGUGAGGAAGGUGGAGUCGUUAAUAGCGGCCUCAUUUGACGUUAGCUGCAGAAGAAGCACCGGCUAACUCCGUGCCAGCAGUCGCGGUAAUACGGAGGGUGCGAGCGUUAAUCGGAAUUACUGGGCGUAAAGCGCAUGCAGGUGGUUUGUUAAGUCAGAUGUGAAAGCCCGGGGCUCAACCUCGGAAUUGCAUUUGAAACUGGCAGACUAGAGUACUGUAGAGGGGGGUAGAAUUUCAGGUGUAGCGGUGAAAUGCGUAGAGAUCUGAAGGAAUACCGGUGGCGAAGGCGGCCCCCUGGACAGAUACUGACACUCAGAUGCGAAAGCGUGGGGAGCAAACAGGAUUAGAUACCCUGGUAGGAUAGCC
rnacentral:rRNA from 1 species